rnacentral:ncRNA from 1 species
AGUUUAAUCGCACCACCUUUAUUGUUUUGCAAAAUAGUUUGCACCGAGCCCUUACCAAAGCUCUUCUGCCCCAUGAUGACCGCGCGUUUAUGGUCCUGCAAAGCACCCGCAACAAUUUCAGACGCCGAAGCAGAACCGCCAUUCACCAACACAACAAUUGGCGCACCCUUUAAUAAGUCAUUAGGGCUGGCCUUAAAACUCAUUUUAGAGUGUUCAAUUCUACCUUCCGUAUAAACAAUCAGGCCCUCUUUCAAGAAGGUGUCACUCACCGCAACGGCUGCAUUCAAUAAGCCCCCUGGGUUAUUUCGUAA